rnacentral:rRNA from 1 species
UCGAGCGCACCCUUCGGGGCGAGCGGCGGACGGGUUAGUAACGCGUGGGAACAUACCCUUUUCUAUGGAAUAGCCUUUGGAAACGAAGAGUAAUACCAUAUACGCCCUUCGGGGGAAAGAUUCAUCGGAGAAGGAUUGGCCCGCGUAAGAUUAGAUAGUUGGUGGGGUAAUGGCCUACCAAGUCUACGAUCUUUAGCUGGUUUUAGAGGAUGAUCAGCAACACUGGGACUGAGACACGGCCCAGACUCCUACGGGAGGCAGCAGUGGGGAAUCUUAGACAAUGGGCGCAAGCCUGAUCUAGCCAUGCCGCGUGUGUGAUGAAGGCCUUAGGGUCGUAAAGCACUUUCGCCAGAGAUGAUAAUGACAGUAUCUGGUAAAGAAACCCCGGCUAACUCCGUGCCAGCAGCCGCGGUAAUACGGAGGGGGUUAGCGUUGUUCGGAAUUACUGGGCGUAAAGCGUACGUAGGCGGAUCAGAAAGUAGGGGGUGAAAUCCCGAGGCUCAACCUCGGAACUGCCUCCUAAACUCCUGGUCUUGAGUUCGAGAGAGGUGAGUGGAAUUCCAAGUGUAGAGGUGAAAUUCGUAGAUAUUUGGAGGAACACCAGUGGCGAAGGCGGCUCACUGGCUCGAUACUGACGCUGAGGUACGAAAGUGUGGGGAGCAAACAGGAUUAGAUACCCUGGUAGUCCACACCGUAAACGAUGAAUGCCAGUCGUCGGGUAGCAUGCUAUUCGGUGACACACCUAACGGAUUAAGCAUUCCGCCUGGGGAGUACGGUCGCAAGAUUAAAACUCAAAGGAAUUGACGGGGGCCCGCACAAGUGGUGGAGCAUGUGGUUUAAUUCGAAGCAACGCGCAGAACCUUACCAACCCUUGACAUCCUGUGCCACUACCAGAGAUGGUACGUUCCCUUCGGGGACGCAGUGACAGGUGCUGCAUGGCCGUCGUUAGCUCGUGUCGUGAGAUGUUCGGUUAAGUCCGGCAACGAGCGCAACCCACAUCUUUAGUUGCCAUCAGUUCGGCUGGGCACUCUAAAGAAACUGCCCGUGAUAAGCGGGAGGAAGGUGUGGAUGACGUCAAGUCCUCAUGGCCCUUACGGGCUGGGCUACACACGUGCUACAAUGGCAGUGACAAUGGGUUAAUCCCAAAAAGCUGUCUCAGUUCGGAUUGGAGUCUGCAACUCGACCCCAUGAAGUCGGAAUCGCUAGUAAUCGCGUAACAGCAUGACGCGGUGAAUACGUUCCCGGGCCUUGUACACACCGCCCGUCACACCAUGGGAGUUGGUUCUACCCGACGACGCUGCGCUGACCUUCGGGGGGCA